rnacentral:rRNA from 2 species
UACGUAGGGGGCAAGCGUUGUCCGGAAUUAUUGGGCGUAAAGCGCGCGCAGGCGGUCGGGUAAGUCUGAUGUUAAAGCCCGGGGCUCAACCCCGGUUCGCAUUGGAAACUGCUCGACUUGAGUGCAGAAGAGGAAAGCGGAAUUCCACGUGUAGCGGUGAAAUGCGUAGAGAUGUGGAGGAACACCAGUGGCGAAGGCGGCUUUCUGGUCUGUAACUGACGCUGAGGCGCGAAAGCGUGGGGAGCAAACAGG